AGUAUUUCUACAGACGAGUAUCCAAAAUAUCCUAAACGGUGUACAGCGACUCAGUUCUAACUGUGGCAUUGCAACAGCAUGGACAUCACCGUGAGCAUCGCUGACCACUCAGCAUCAGAUAUGUCUGUCCUCUAAGAGAACAGCACUUGCAAUCGUUCUAGCAAAUUCUUAUUUGGACAACUAAUCUACAAUUGAAAUUUCAAUUUGUGAAACUUUGUUGGCAAGUCGUUCGAACUAGUUGAAGAAAAAUGGAGUUUUCUGUAAUAACAAUCCAAACUGUUACUGUUGUGUCUGAUAUAAUUUAUGAAAACAACUUGGUUUAUUUUUUGCUUCAUUUAUGUAGUAAUGGGAAUGGAAUUUUUUUGGAUAUCAUUGAAAAUACUACGUAAAUCAACAAAGCUCAAUUAAUGGAAUAUUUAAGUUCUCGAGCACUUUCUGACAGUUCAAAAAGUAAUUUGUGGAAACAUAACUAUUGUG